CCUACGGGGGGCAGCAGUGAGGAAUAUUGGUCAAUGGGCGAGAGCCUGAACCAGCCAAGUCGCGUGAGGGAGUACUGCCCUAUGGGUUGUAAACCUCUUUUGUCGGGGAGCAAAAGCCGGACGUGUCCGGCUGUGAGAGUACCCGACGAAAACGCAUCGGCUAACUCCGUGCCAGCAGCCGCGGUAAUACGGAGGAUGCGAGCGUUAUCCGGAUUUAUUGGGUUUAAAGGGUGCGCAGGCGGAUUUUUAAGUCAGCGGUAAAAUCGUGGGGCUCAACCCCAUCCAGCCGUUGAAACUGGGGAUCUAGAGUGUGCGAGAGGUAUGCGGAAUGCGUGGUGUAGCGGUGAAAUGCAUAGAUAUCACGCAGAACCCCGAUUGCGAAGGCAGCAUACCGGUGCACAACUGACGCUCAGGCACGAAAGCGUGGGUAUCGAACAGGAUUAGAUACCCUUGUAGUC
rnacentral:rRNA from 1 species